GCCCUAUUUAGUCCACUUUAAUCAAACUGCACUUUGUUUGCCGAGAAAGUCUGGUUCAUUUGGGGAGGUGUGAAUACGUAAUCGAACUUUAAUGACGACCAAAAAAACUAACUCUGACCUAAAACCUUAUGUCUUGGUUUGGUUCAAGUGAACUCUAUUGUGGUUUGUAUGCAUAUCUGGAUGCCAAGCAGACCGGAGAUCGCUCCAAAAGCAGGAAGAGAACUAUAGUGCAGGGCAUUCUGGGUAAAUAGAACCAAAACAAACGCACAAGUCUAAUACUAGCCGGACAAAAGAGAAAUCCUGCCACCUCUGAAAUGCUACUGCAUUUUUAUUUACAUUGCAACCAUAUCUUCUUUAGAGGAUUUUGUGUUGUUUCCAUUGGUGGUCCUUGGAACAGCGCCACCACAGGCGAGGGGAGGAAGUUUUUUGAAGUUCUUGGUUCUUUUGAGACCCUGCAGCAUUGAAGUCAACCACCCCAGCUGAAAAUGUAACAUAUUGUAAUAUUAGCCCCCAAUUCAACCAAGUCUACUACAUACACCAUUAGGUGUGAAAACAUCCUCAUAAAAAAGUUUGAAUAAGAUUUUUUAAUUUGCCUAAUUUCACUGACAAAUUUAUAACUCAUCCAUUUGGCUUACAAAACUGGAUUAACAGUCAAUGGUGAUUCGUGGUUUGAAAGCUUUAAAAUCAGUAAAUGUCACCUGUUAUCAAGAACUGAUGUCGGAUAAAAUGUGGUUUAAAAAAUAUAUCCCCCAUUUUUUUCGUGAAAUUGCUUGUAGGAAAUGAACAGAAACAAAUCUGUAGGAUUUCCUCUUCCUCUAACCUGCACUUUCAGGGCAAUUCUGUCUAGCCUGUUUCGAACGGCAGAUGGAAAUUUGUCGACUCCAUCUCCCCUUCCCUGGAGAGUAUAAAUGAUGAGAUUUGUUGUUUGUGUACAACACAUUGUGGGACAAACACAAAUUGCUCGUACCACUUAAAACAGAGAUUUUAUACAAUGCAUUAAACCAACAUGGACAAACUUUACUUGAAUUUGACAGUUAUUGGGGGAUCACCCUGCUGCCUUGGUACCAUAAAGGUUAAAGCAAAAGUACAGAUCUGGUGAAGAUGGUGAACAAGAUAACAGAUACUAAUUACAAUUACAAAAGACAAAGGUAAUUAAUGGUAUUUUUACUAUCAACUUUUUCCUAAUUAUUUAUUGUUGCAAUGUUGCUUGUUUUGUUAUACUUGUGUGCCGUCUUGCAGCACUUUUGUUCAACCCCUUCUUACUUGGGUGACUGAUAAGGAAACCUCAACCUUGAUUCUGGAAUACUUAUCUGCUGUUAUUGAUUUAGGAUCAGUUUCCUCCUCAUUCCUUGCGUUGUUGCUGUAGAAUUGAAUAGCGGUUUAAUAUUGGUUGAUUUUGAUAUCUAAUAGCACAUGGUGAGCUGCAUUUUUAAAGCAACUCAUUAGCAGUUUAGCUAAAAUGUGUUGUUUUGUCUGUUUCAAUGGUCAUAUACCUAGUUGGGAUUCACCAAACAUGUGUGCUGUUAUUCAUGGCUGCAGCAAAUUCAGACAAAGCGACCACAUUGGGGAAGCGACUGCAUGAGUGAGAGAGUUAAACUACUUUAACAAAAAUUAUAACACAGCUGACAUUUUAAAUUGUCCAUGUAAGACUUCUAAAAGACUGCCAAAUAUCCAUCAUGAAGAGGUCGACUGCCUCUAUCAAGGAUUAAAUAGAGCGUAACUGCUUCAGACUAUUUAGCCUUCCUGUUAUCUGCAGAGGUCUAACUCUCUUUUGCUUUCUUGCAACCUAAAUGAACUGUAGACGUGGAAAAAAAAUUAAUGUCCUUUAUCAAGUUCCUUACAUUCCUUUGAUUUCAUGAUAAACAACUUAUACUGAACAAAACUACUCUUAGGCCAAGUUUUUAACACCACCUAGCCACACUCAAGUAGGACACAUUGACUAAAAAAUGAUUAAACUGUUCGUAUGAUAAUUACUCAUAUUCAGCUACCUCAAAAAGGAAACAAAGCAAUGCAUACAAAUGACUUUUUAAAGUUUCAUAGUAUCCACCAGCUACAUAUCCCAGAAUUAGUGUUCUAACGUACAAUAUGCCCCCGUCACAGAAAUCCCACUGCCAUUAAUCUUUUGACACACCUCUAAGGUACGCUGUCAGCAAGCCACCGUGAGUUCGCUAAGCUAAGCCUGACAUUUGAAUAAUUGUAGUCAUUUGAGACGGAUCACUGCUAUAAUGUAUUGGAAACGCGCAGCAGCUUAAGCACCACAUUGAGGCCCCCCACUAUAUUGUACAUCUGGUGACCCAUUUUACAGCUGGAGCAAAGAGGUCCCUGUAAACACACUAGAGAAGCUCAACUAAUUGGAGCAAGGUAAGUACAGCGAAAAUGAUUGUAAUUAGAACCUCAGUGAGACUUUUCUUCCCCCCCCGUCCCUCCUCCUCUCGUUUUUUGCAAACAGAAAACUGGAAACAAUCACCGGCAUAAUCCGUCAUUUACAUUUUUUAGGAUAGCUGAGCAUCAAGUCAUUUCUUUCUCUUCUGCUUCACAGAGUACUGACAGAGGAAUGACUCUUACCUGUCCUUGCCACCUUCCAUCGGGGGCUAUUUGCAGCCAGGCGCAUGCAUGGGCAGAAAUGAAUAUAAGGGGGGAAGGGAAGGUGUGGGAAAGUAUAGGGUGUACACUGUGGUAAAAGCAGUAAAUAUGACUGAUGAGGGAAACCCCUUUGUAGGGUGAAAUAAGGGCCGCUUGGGGACUCACCGUAUACACAGCACCUGUCUCGUCAUCGUUUAACUCUUAGUUGUUGGAUAUACUAGACUGUCAGCAAUUCCCUGCCUCCUUGGCCUUUACCUGUAAAGUAGCAUGGAAACGCUGACAAGCUGCCAAACUGGAACGCACUGGAAAUGACUGCUGAUGCUUUUCUUUUGAGUUUUUUUUUCUUUUCUCCUUUUUCACAGAAUUAGACACACUCGCGGAAAGGUGCACUUAGCAGCAUUUGUAUUCAACUGACCGCCUUUCAUAUGUAGUUCCACUUAACAGGAGCUUCCUUAAAUUAUCUUUUCUUCUCGACACAUUAGGAACUUUGUAUCGUUGCAGCUGUCCUCUGAUAAUUCUACCCUCUAGCUUCUUGAAGUGUCUUAGUGAUGCUUCCUGUAAUUUCUGUCUUUUCCCCGGACCAAUUCAAUUGUCUCUUGAUAUAUUCUCCGCUCAGCCGAGCAUGUCAUGAAACACAUUAGUUGUUUGCAGUUUAAUGCUUCAAGGUUACAUCUCUGCUGUAGUACAUUUUGAGGUCUUGUAGCACUUCAUCCACACUUGUUUCUCACACCAGGUGAUCUUUUUUUUUAUUUGUUUAUUUAUUUUUUUAACUUGCCAUCAGAAAUUGCUUCAUCAACGACGCCAGACCUCUCUGCCACAUGUUAACUUGUCAUUGGGCUCUGCGCCAAUUACUAAUCAUUUAAUGUGAUGAUAAUGGUCCCCUUCCAUAACUAUAGUUCACAUGGUUGUGCCAAUCAAUUUGUUUCAAGCUCCACAUCAUGAAAUCAUAUUACUUUAUGGAAGUUUAACAAGUCUAUUGGUGCAUUUACUUCUAGUUUUUGGUGACUGUACACUAUAUAAAAAUAAACUGGAGGAGUGUUCAUAUUACCAAUUAGUUAACUGAAUUAUAAUCACCUUUUAUUUAGUUUGUAAAUAUAAUGUUCAAUGAGUUAUGUUCUCAAAUUAACAUGUUUGGGAUUUUUAAUUCUAACUAAACAUUUUUGUUUUAAUUUUAAAAAUGUUGGAUAUUAGUAUCCCUCAAUUGUUGUGUGCUGUGUCUCUCAAAAUGAUUUUGGUUGAUGAGCUUUUCUUUUGUGGGUGGCAUUAGGAGGAAAAGCUAAGCUCAAACUGAUCCAUGGCCGAAGUUAAAGCAAUUUGUUUCUGUUUGUUUUCAACACAUUUCUUGAGAUGCUUUGGAGCAGCCCUGCCAGAGUCCAGCCUCGAACCUGUGGUGGGAGCCAAAGAUUAGGGUGAUGGCAAAGAUGCCUUUUAAGAAGUGCAGCUCAUCACCAAAGGCACCAGACGUUGUCGGAGUCGACUCUAAGACUAAAGAAAACAUGUGAAAAACCAGGGUAAGAAAUCACUUCUGCCUUAUUCAUGUAUACCACAUCAACCUCGAGUUAAUUAUUGCUUGUGCGGCGUCUACCAAGCUGCCUGCCUCAAAAGUGCACUGUCCGCUCUCCUUAUAUUGGGCUCUUGAGGCUUAAUGCUGCCUAAACAGCAAAGCCGUAAUUCCCUUAAGCUGUGCUCUAUGCAAUAACUGUUACGCAGGAGUACACAAACAAAAACAGAGGUGGUCUGUUUUGGAAGGAAAUCUCCACAGCCCCUAAUAAUCUUCGAUGUUGCGGCGGUCAUUUGCACUUAUUGAACACCUUACACAUCACAAAGUAAAGAACAAGAGCUGAUGGCCUCAGAUAAAAUCAACCUGACUUAUUUCUUCAAGUUGUUUUUUGUUGUUGUUUUUUUUGCCAUUUGAGGAAUUUCCUAUCAAUUUUGGCAAUUUAGAAAAUGUAUCUUGUGAUUUACAAAAAAACAAAAACAUACAUACUUUUUAACUUUUUUCCACAAACGUCAAUGUAUUUAACCUUUUUUUGUGACAGGUAAACAGAAAUUAAAGACUAAUUGUGAAUUGGGAGAAAAAUUAUAAAUUGUCUUAAAAAAUGCAAAUAAAAGCGUCAGGCAUUUGUGUUCAGGCCCUCUGCAUUCAUUCAGUACUUUGUAGUACUUCCAAUUACUAGCGAUACGAAGGCAAGUCUUUUGUCUCAACCAGCUUUCGCAGAAAUUGACAUUAACGACCCUUCUUUAUGUCAAUCAUGUUGGACUGGAUGGAAACCAUCUGUGAAUAUCAAUUUUUGUGCCUUGCUGCAGAUACAUGAUUGAAUUUAGGUCAUGGCUUUGACUGGGCCAUUCUAACCGGUCCACUGCAACUCUGGUACUAUGUCAUAUUCUGGCUAAGCCAUGGCUGUAGCCUCUUUAUACUGGACACCUGCCCUACCACUACACCACCCAGCAUCGCGCUUUGUCAUCCCUUCUAAAGAAAAACAUUGCAACAACAUGACAUUGCCACCAAUCGUGAGCGUCGUUUGUUCCAAAGGAUGUGCAAAACUGUUCUUUUUCCAUUAGUCCCAAAUAGUCUCAUCCGACCAGAACUCCUCCUUCUGCAUGGCUUAUGGCAUAAUUCAUGUGGGACUUCUUAAGGCUUUCGUUCCACAAUGGCGUUCAUAUUGGUAGCUUCUGAACAAGACUAGAUUUGUCAAGUGUAGGAUUAAUGGUUGUCCUGCCAAUAUUUUCUCCCAUCUGACCUUUGGGUCUCUGUGGCUCAUCCAGAGUUAACGGCUCUUUGGAUGCUUCUGACAUGAGUUGCUCUUUUUGCCCAGCCUUGUCACAUUAGGUGGAUAGCCAUAUCUUGGCAGUUUGCAGUUAGGUCACACUCUUUUUCUUUGUGACAUAUUGAACAGUGCUUUCUGAGCUGUCCAAUGCUGAUAUGUUCUUUUAAACUUGACAACCUUUAUCUUGAUCUCUGUGGUGUGUUUUUCUUCUCCUUAAUACUGUUUGUUCAAUAACGUUCUCUGACAAACCUCUGAGGCCUUUCUAGGACAUCUGCAAUUAUACUUGAAUUGGAUUACAUAUAGCAAGGCAAGUGACUGGAUUUUAAAUGGAGCAUCAGGGUAAAGGUGGCUGAAUACAAACGUGCACCAAUCUUUUCAAAUGUCAAUGUGUAAAGAAAUAUUUAAAAAACAUGUAUUUCCUUCUAUGCUGCCUAAUUAUAGCACUGCAUUAAGUUGGCAGGUCAAAUAGCACCCCGGUAAAAUGAACUGAACUUUGGUACUAUGGUGAGUAAAAGGUGAAAAGGCUCAAGCGGUAUAAAUUCUUGUGCAAGGCACUGUUUAUAGCAGAGAAAGAAGGCUCCAUAAUCCCUGCCUCUUAUGAAAGGCUAAGUACCCACUGGGUGACCAGAGGCAGAAAGGUCGGCCUCAACGGAGUCAGCAAGGAUUUUCCAGUUAAAGAUUUCAACAUUUUACUUUUCUUUUCAAUACUGAAAACACAGGGGUGUGAGGACCACACUCACAAAGCUGUUUCCCAGGGUAGAACAUUGGUGUGUGGGGAAAGCAAAUAAAUAAAAAAAUAGGGGGGGGAAAAUAAUAAAGUAAAGAGAAGUCAUUGAGCGAGAACACUCUUUUCUUCAGUCACCGGCUCCCGCUCCUGGACCCACACUUUUUGAAAUGUCAGUUCUUUAGGGCUACAAUUCUAAUUUUUGUUCUGCUCAGUGUAAGUAAAUAGAUCUGACUGUGAGUUUUUGUUCACAGAUCCCAGGAGAGUGGCUUGCACGCUCAGCAAAGAGACCUCUCACUGCAACCUCCCUCUAACAUAUUGAUCAGGAACGGCUAUUGGCGCUGGCCCUGUGAAUAAAAUGCUGCUCUACCGAGUUCAAUUCCCCGCUGGGCCACUGAAUGAAGAGACAAAACCUUUAGCGCUUGUUCCCCCCGCAUCCCCCCACCGAAACCCCUCAUCCACCCAAUCCUAUUUAGCUCCGCUUCUACAUUGAGUGUCGCCGCUAGCAGGCACAUCGAAGGACAAAAAUUGAAAUGUCACUUUUGUGGAGCGCUACUUCCGAAGUGCCUGUGUAUCUGUUUUGCUGCCUGUCACUCAUACGUUUCAGGCUCCACGGCAGACCAAGGAGCGAUCACAAUGAGAUGGUUUAUGAAACCGAAGGUAAAUGGUGUUGUUUUUCUGACUUUACGCUCAGAGUCGUUUGUUGACAUCAAAGAGAGGAGGAAGCGCCUUGACACAUGCAUCUAGAGACAUUUCCCUCCUGGAAGCAAUAAUCCUCCUGACAUUUGAAAUUACCAGAACAUGAAAAAAGCCAAUGUUUAUACAGAUUUAGGGUACAGAAUGAGUGGCGUUUUGUUUACACAUGAUAGACAAACCUUUGCUUUUUUUUUCUCUCUCUCCUUGUGACUCCUUCAAUUGUGUGACAAGGGGGAAAGAUUUUUGAGAUCUCUCUCUUCAGCUUAAUGCAGUGGGGUAAAUAAUUAUUUGAUCUUCUGCUGAAUUUGUCAGUUUAUCUCCUUACCAAAAAAUUAAUGGUUUGAACUUGUACUGUGUUAAAACUACAUCAAAUACUGCAAUCCACCACAUCUAUUGAACCCUUUCCACUGUCAUGGUCGAGACCAAAGAGAGGUCUAAUGAUGUCUUAUGGAUUUCCCACAUUGGCAAGAAGCUCGGUGAAAAAGAGGACGCUGCUGGUCCAACAACUUUAAAACAGAAGAGAUGCAAAAUAAAAGUGGGUUGGCCCAACUUUAGAGCUCCAUGCAAGAUCUCACAACGUGGGGUAGAAAACACUGAAGACCAAUUAGGAAUGUUUCUUCCAGCAUGACAAUGACCCAAACCAUAAAGUGAAGGAAACAUGGGAGUGGCUUAAUAGUGCGUUCCAGUUUUAGUUACGACUUGUUAGGCGGACUUCUGGUUUCAAUAUGGCCGCUGCUCACAUCAACUGCAGUAAGAAACUGUAGAAACCUGUUUAUUUUACGAGACACACAUGCAAAAGUGUCUAAAACCAAAACUUGUAACUCUAACCUGAAAAACUAAAAGUGAUGUUUGCUUAUGGAAAGUAAAGCAAAUAAAAUAAUGUUUACAAGACCUAUUGCAAGCAAUGUUUGUGGCUAUUUUGAAAUUUCAACUUCUCAACCAGAACGCUGCUACCUUGACUUCAAACCCAGCUCAGAGUUCCCACUUCCUUCGUAACUCGAAUGCAGCCUGACAAGCAACACAUUAAAGUUCUACAG